rnacentral:tRNA from 1 species
GCCUUCGUGGUGUAGUGGUCAGCACGCUCGAUGCGUAACCUUGAAGACCGUGGUUCGAUUCCCGUCGAAGGCG